GGUUGCGAUCAUACCAGCACUAAUGCACCGGAUCCCAUCACAACUCCGCAGUUAAGCGUGCUUGGGCGAGAGUAGUACUAGGAUGGGUGACCCCCUGGGAAGUCCUCGUGUUGCAACCCC
rnacentral:rRNA from 1 species